rnacentral:sRNA from 1 species
GCCAGGUGUUGUGGCACACGCCUGUAAUCCCAGUGACUCGGGAGGCUGAGGCAGGAGGAUCAAGAGUUCAAAGACAACCUCAGCAUCCUAUCACUGAACUACAACAUCCAGCCUUUU